rnacentral:rRNA from 1 species
GUGCAGCAGUCGCGAAAAUUUUGCAAUGCGCGCAAGCGUGACAAAGUCAUCCCGAGUGCCACCCGCUGAGGGUGGCUUUUGCCAGGUCUAAACCGCCUGGAGAAUAAGGGGAGGGCAAGUCUGGUGUCAGCCGCCGCGGUAAUACCAGCUCCUCGAGUGGUCGGGACGAUUAUUGGGCCUAAAGCAUCCGUAGCCGGUUCUGUAGGUCUCCUGUCAAAUUCAACGGCUCAACCGUUGAGCUGCAGGAGAUACCGCAGGGCUAGGAGGCGGGAGAGGUGGACGGUACUCUAUGGGUAGGGGUAAAAUCUUCUGAUCCAUGGAAGACCACCAGUGGCGAAGGCGGUCCACCAGAACGCGCUCGACGGUGAGGGAUGAAAGCUGGGGGAGCGAACCGGAUUAGAUACCCGGGUAGUCC